ACAACGGAGAGUUUGAUCCUGGCUCAGGAUGAACGCUGGCGGCGUGCUUAACACAUGCAAGUCGAACGAACCUUCGGGUUAGUGGCGGACGGGUGAGUAACGCGUGAGAAUCUGCCCUCAGGAGGGGGAUAACAGCUGGAAACGGCUGCUAAUACCCCAUAUGCCGCGAGGUGAAAUGAAUUUCGCCUGAGGAUGAGCUCGCGUCUGAUUAGCUAGUUGGUGUAGGUAAUGGCUCACCAAGGCAUCGAUCAGUAGCUGGUCUGAGAGGAUGAUCAGCCACACUGGGACUGAGACACGGCCCAGACUCCUACGGGAGGCAGCAGUGGGGAAUUUUCCGCAAUGGGCGAAAGCCUGACGGAGCAACGCCGCGUGAGGGAUGAAGGCCUCUGGG
rnacentral:rRNA from 1 species